UGAUUUCUAGUUUGUGUCAUGACCUGCUUAAGGAGAUUAAAUGACAUAGGAUAAUUGAUUCCUCAUCUGGGAGUCAAGACUAAAAGCAUUAAAUCAAUCCUGUCCUCUUACAUUUAUUGCCAUUGAAAUUUCUUUAAAGCUGUUGCCUCUUCUGUCUCUUUCCCUGAAUAGUGAACUAGGUAAUACCUAUUCCUUUUGCGUGCUUGGUCUGCUGUCUCUCUGGGAGUAAACAGCACAGCUUAGCUCUGGUCUCUCUAAUCCACUGGGAUAUGCCUUUAGAGAAUGGGGUUUCAUUCCAUAAAUACAAUGCAAAAUGUUUUUUGUGACCUUGUGUCCAUGUCUGGGUACGGAAUCUAUAGGGCUAUAGCUAAUGGACUAACUGCAGCUUCAAGAAAAUUGUGACCUGUUGGAUUUGACUCUUGGUAACACUGACCACAAUACUAAGAGAGUUGGAUGAAAACCUGGGCUUAAUGUGGUCACACGGACAUCGCGAUGUAGACUUGCACUCUGAAAUAAUUCAGUGCUCUGCCUUUGCAAAACUGAGUCUGAAGCAAAGCUCCCAGACACGCGGCGCUCAUCUUGCAGCUGACAAAUGAGCACGAACUGCAGUGGGAGCAGGUAUGGAGCAGAAACGGCCAAUGCUGCUAUUCAUUUGGUACCAGAUCCUGAUGUUGCUAACCUGAGCCAAGUCCAGCUUGCCACGGCACCCUUUCUAAACAGCCAGAACCGGUCAUUCACACGGUGGUGGGGCUGUGUGAAGGCAGGCUGGUGAGGUGGGCUCUAGGACACCAAUUAAUAUGGUCUGUCAGACCUCCGCUGGCUCUGAACCUUCACACCUUGCUUCUGGAGCAGGCAACGGCUGGAGGGCAGCACCGGCAUGUGUCGGUGCCUCCGGACAGAGGAGAGCAGCACCAGCCAGGCUCCCGCUGUCACACCACUGCCUGGGGGUAAAGCAGGCUUGGAGAAAACACCAGGGGCCCUUGCACCCGGGGGAGGGGAAAUAGCAGAGAAAAUAGGCAGGGGGAUAGCUCUCUGAAUCAUCCGUUUUUUCUUGGCUGAUAUCCACAACAAAUAUAAGGAAGUUUAAAAACUCCUGGGUAAUUUAUUGUUGAGAUUUCUUUAUUCAAAUGUGUACAUCAGGAAUAACACGCAACCAGCGUAAAACAUACAAUACAGUUUGAGGUUUGUUAUUUUUCCCAUCUCCUGUUAACUACUAUUUUCCAUUUGUACAUGGUGGACAAGGCCAUUUAUGUAAAUGUGGACUCUUUAUGACAGAGAUACUCAGUUGUGGACAUUUUUUAAAAUACAUUUUUCCUAUCCUUUUGGAAGUACAGGAGCCAAAAGGACUACUUUAUUUUAUUUUAGUUUGAAGUGUUUCUGUCAUCAGAGGUCACUGCAGCUACCUACCACUUCCAUGAAUAAGGAAAAUGACUUAAUCAUUGAAGGGGUUUUUUGGAGUCAGGACUCAAAGUUAUAUUUAAAAAAAAAAAAAAAAACCAAAACCAAAAAACUGGCCAAGUUUUAAGUCUCCUGAAAAGCAGAAUAAUGGAAAAUGCUGCAGCAAAAACAUCUGUAGCCUAGGAAGGACAUGCCACUGCUCACAGCCCCCAGUGUAUGAUGUGUAUGGGAGGAGAAAAAAGGUUGCUGACACAUGCAUAACUUUUUAAGCGUACUCAGCAGACCUGUUGCUGUGGUAACUAAUCAGAAGACUGUAACCUCCCCUGAAUGAGUACUAUUUGCACUGCACCAGAUGGCUGAUAAAUCACGUAGUGGCAUUUUCUGUCCCUUGUGUUACUGUCCAAUCUUUUGUCUAAGUGCUGUGAUUUAAUUUGCAGCAAUUUACACAUAGAUUAUUCAGACAUGACACACUAAUAUAAAAUACAAAGCUGCUUCAGAUAUGCAGUCACUUUAAUGAACUCCUGUAUCACCUAUAUAACACCAGAACUGGUUUUUGUCUUACAUAUUGAUGUUCAAGCUGUUGCAAUUUUAUGAAUAAUGCUAAGCUGAGAAAAACUAUGCUUGAAUUUUAAUAUAAUAAGGGUAACAAUAUAGCACAUAGUUACUAUAGCACAUUUCUUGCAGAGGGAAGUGACAUGCCUUUUCUAGUUCAUCGGUCUGCUACAAGCAUUUCUGUACAGGCAGCAUCACAACAAUGGAAGCAUACAUGAAGAUUAAAAAGGAUCAUUGCAUAAGAAAGUAAUGCUGUUGUCUCUGUAUUUUCUGCUUCUUUGUUGUCAUUACUGGCUUAUCUUCUCAGGAUGACAGAGUUCCUUCUUCCACCCGCCUAGACUGUUUAUGAUUAUGAGUCUUAAGCUAUUGUCAAGUGUUUUAGCCUCAUUGUUACAGGUGCUGUUCUAACACACUAAAAAAGCUCCAGGCUCACAGAAUUUAUAAGCCAAUAAUAAUAAACGUGUCUUGUGAUACCUUUUAGAGUUAUGAAAAUAAGUAUGCUGUCACAGGUUACUGUAAAGUAAAACAAGGAAAACUACAAAAUUUAUGAAAACAAAGCAAGAGACUGAUGCUUUUUUGACAAAUCAUUACUCCAGAAGGUGGCAACCUUUCUAAAUGGGCAAUGGAGCAGCUUAGUUGUGUGGUUCAGCGGUAUUGGUGCCUGAUAGGUUUCUAGGCACAGAGGGUAACUGCAGCAUGCCCAGAGUCCUUGCAGCACACAGUCUUCUGUCCCUGUGACACAGGCUAAGCAGUUGUGUUCUGUUCUGUCACUUGUGCAAUGGAGAAAUUAGUCACCUUCUGUGGCACAUGAGUAAGAGCUCGGCAUCUGAGCCUGCCAUUGUGCCUACAAUGACAUCUUAUGUACAGCUGCAACCAUUUCGAUAGAUUAAUCUUCAGUGGUAUAAUUGGAUAAAGGGGCUGCAGCCAGGAUUUCUCCUAACUUUUUCAUUUUGAACGUUCACUGAGCCCAGCAGGUAACACCUUUACUUCACCUCAAAAUAUUGUACCUGCCACCCUCGUUCUUUGUUAUGGGUAGAGCUACCUUUAGUGUGGGAGAAGUACUCCCAACUCUGCUCCAGUCUCCUGACUAUAGAAAAAACCCAAAACACCCAAGUAGCAUUGAUACUUUUUUGCUCUUUAGAUUUGUUCUACGACAUCAGUUGAAUUUACUGGCCUAUGGUGUAACUGUUAUCUUAGGGUCUCACAGGGUUUUUCAAUGUUACUAACUCUUCUGUAAGAAGUUUUUUUGUUCCUAUAACUCAAGAGGAAUCAUCUAUGUUUAGUGGGAUGCCUUUAUGGGUACAGGCUUAGAAUUCUGACUUAGCAGUGACCAGGUACAUUUGUUCCGUGCAACCCGAGUUCAUCUGAUUUUUAGGUACUCCAAAUCAGUGCUCCACCAGAGAGAACAAGAAUAAAUGGUGGCUUGAAAUAACAAAAAUGAAUACCAACAAAAGGGCUUUCUUGGCUGCACUACCCUUUCACCAAAUCUAUCACAGUACAUUUUUUUAAUAUAAUUUCAACACUUAGAUGGACUUUUUUACUGUCUGCAUUAAGCCAACUUCUCUCCUUCUAAACACUGUUUGCUGAGAAAACUACUUCCAUCGGUUGUAUGACUGCAUGGCUGCUGUCUUGAACUUGCAGAGGAAAGUAUUUUGGAAAUGAUGAAUCAAAGAUUAGUGCUGCAGUGUCCUGAGGAUUUUUGGGUACUAGUUCUGCUGAAUAGGCUUUGAUCUCCAACUAAGGAGGUGUUUAAAGAAGAACAAAAAUAAACUGUAACUUAAGCUCUA